AAACAGUGAAUAUUUGAAUAAUUGGUAACUAUUUGUGAGCAUUGUAUUGUAUAAGAAAAAAUUAUUUACAUGUACCUAAACAGUUUGAAAGUCAUAGCUUAAAAUUUUUUUUAAAAAGCCAAACCCAUUUAUAUUAGCAAAAAAAAUUUGUCAAAAACAAAAUAGCUCAAAAAUUUCAUGAAAUUAGAAAAUAAAAGAAAAAAACAAAACCAAAUCACAAAAUCAAAUUAAACUUCACAAAACAAGAAGAAAAAUAUAAACAAAAUAAAGAAUUUUCACAACAUUAAAGAAAAAAAAAAACCUCCAAAACCCAUUACAAAGACAGCAGCCUAAACAAUAAUUAAAAGGACAAUAAUCAAAAUACAAAAGAGUAAAAAAAUAAAGAAGAACACGACCUCAAAGAAUCAAAUAACAAAGAAAAUGAACAAAAAAGCACCAAAAGAAAUAAAGAAAACAAAACAAAACCAAAAAAAGAAAAGAACAGUGAAAAAAGAGGAGAAAAAGAUGAAAAAAAAAAUAGAGAAAGUGACAAAUGGGAGAGAGCGAAAACCUAGAGGGAAAAAGAAUAAUCUAGAAGCAUAUCAAUCAAAAAGACCAAAAUAACAUGACAAACAAAACCAAAAAGAAAAAAAAAAAAAAAAAAAAAAAAAAAAAAAAAAAAAAAAAAAAAAAAAAAAAAAAAAAAAAAAAAAAAAAAAAAAAAAAAAAAAAAAAAAAAAAAAAAAAAAAAAAAAAAAAAAAAAAACCUUGCAGAGGGCUCAAUUGAAUGACAAAUUUCCAUUUUAACUCACUUUUAGUAGUACAGAGUAUAUGUCCAAGUCAAUUGCGCAUGAUGAAAAGACACAAUAUUUUGUUGAUAAAUUAAUUUUGUACAUAAACAAAUAAAUUUAAUAGUAUUUGAAGAAAAUUAUACUUUUAAAACUCAACAAAUAAUNCAUAACUAGAAGAACAUAAAUAAUAAUAAUAAACAUUUAAUUUAUAUUUUAAAACUUUUAAAUAUGAUAUAUUUACAUGUGAUAGGUAAUUUUUACUAAAAAGAAAAUUGAAACUACUACUAUUUACCUAAUUUUGUUAAAAUAUUUAUUAAUUGCAUUCACCUCUAUGGUUUUUUAUUAUGUUUGUUGAAUUAAAUCUUUAUUGUUUAAAAUAAUUUGUCAUACAAAGUGUAAUAAUUAAUGAUAUUCUUAAUUACUAUGAUUAUUGUAGUAUAAUUUGAUAUGUAAACAAAGAAAUACCACAUAAAAUAACAAAAUAUAUUUGUUAUAAAUCAAUUAAGAUAUGACUUAAUUAUACUAAAAAUUGUAUUUAUUUGUAAAAAUCAGUAAAAUCAAGUAUAAAAUAAUUAAGAUAGACAAUUUAUCUUAUUUGCGAAAUGAAUGAAACAAAUAAAAAUAUAUUUACUUUAUUUUUCAGUUUAACUUUUAACCUGUUUUACCAAUUUCUUUGUUUUUUUUUUAAAUUUAUUCUUUUUCUAUUUCUCUUAAGAUAUUUUAUGACUUUAUUUUAUGGUCAAUAUUUUUGUAAUCUUACUUUAAAUAUACCCAUUUGCUUCCACUAAGUGCAUGCUUGGUCAUUCCCUCCGAUUCUCAUCUCUUUUAAGUAUUUUUUAAUUCUAUUUACUUUCAUUAUAUGAACCAAAUUACUUAAUAAAUAUUUUUGUUUUAUUUUAUUUUCAAGAAAUAACUAUUCAAUUUUCUCUCUAUUUCAUUCCGAGAACCAAACAUACAUCAGAAUUUAAAAAUAAAUCCUGGAUCUAUCCCUAACCUGGUAUAGGAAAUUUUGAAUGGGGAGAACUAGGAACAAGGAACGAGGAAAGGCCCAGAUUCAUUCUGAAGUUUGUGAAAUUGUUCUCCCAAGCUUUUCCCAGCCUUAAAAGUGAACGUAAAGAAUUAAUUUCUUCAGGUGUGAAAUAUGUCAAUAUAUAUAUAUAUAUUGACAAAGACAAAGAUUGAAGCAUAUGUCAAAUGUUAAUCAUUCUGUCGUCAGCAAGAUUGAAGCAUUGAAGCAAUCUUCCGAGGCGUGGAAGGCAACUUAUAAGACAGAAAGGUUGCUUGAACUAUUUUCCAAGCCAACUAUGAAAUUGCAGUUACUAUAAAUCCCAAGCUCAAGGGUAAGAAGAACAAAUUCCUGUGAGCUACAACCGGCAAACCAGUUCUUUCGCAAAUCACAGAAUCCCAGCAUUAAUGGACAAGGGUAAGAAGAAAUUGGCUGUUCUGGUUGGAUGCAAUUACCCCAACACCAAGCACGAGUUGCAUGGUUGCAUAAAUGAUGUGGUAGCCAUGAGAGAGGUGCUUGUUGAAAGAUUUGGGUUCGAUCCUAGCCAUGUUAAGCUCCUGACUGAUGCACCAGGGUCCUUGGUUAUGCCUACAGGUGCAAACAUGAAGGCUGCACUUAAUGAGAUGGUGAACAAGGCUGAGGCAGGCGAUGUCUUGUUUUUCCACUAUAGUGGACAUGGAACGAGAAUUCCAUCCUUGAAACCUGUCAAUCAUUUCAGGCAGGAUGAAGCAAUCGUGCCUUGUGAUUUCAAUCUCAUUACGGGUAAUUAAACCUUUUCCUUUGUGUUGGCUAUUUAUAUAGAGAAGAAAUCAAAUUAUCAUCUAUUUAUAAAACUUAAGAACUACAACACUGAUAUAACUUGAUAAAAACCGUCCUGCAGAUGUGGACUUCAGGCAAUUAGUUAACAGACUACCAAAGGGAGCAACCUUCACAAUCCUUUCAGAUUCCUGCCACAGCGGUGGUCUCAUUGAUAAAGAGAAAGAACAAAUUGGACCCUCUACUAUAAAGAACACAACAUCAGUUUCCUACAGGGUUAAAACAAUUCCUUUCCAAUCCGUACUUCAGCACCUAUCAUCACUAACAAGCAUCAACACAUCAGAUAUCAGCACUCAUUUGUUAGAAUUCUUUGGGGCUGACGCCAGUCUCAAGUUUCGUUUACCCCAGCUUGAAUCAGAUUUGUUGGAGUCAUUGAAGACGGACGAGGGGAUUCUGCUGAGUGGGUGCCAAGCAGAUGAAACAUCAGCUGACAUGAACGCAAUCGAGGGUGGAGGGAAGGCAUAUGGGGCGUUUAGCAAUGCAGUGCAUAUGGUACUGAAUGAGAACCCGGGUGCAUUAAGCAAUAGGAAAGUUGUGCUGAUGGCCAGGAAGGUUUUAGAGGCACAGGGAUUUGACCAGCACCCUUGCCUUUAUUGCAGUGAUGGGAAUUCUGAUGCUACUUUCUUGUUGCAGCCCGAAGCCAAAUGAGCCAGCCCAAUUGAUAUUGGUGUAUUCUGUUUGCUUUGUGAUUCAUUUUGGGGUAAUAUGAAAAAAUAAAAUGUUCUGCCAGUCUGUCAGAUUCAGAAACUCACCAACCUUUCCCCUUUAAGAGGAAUUCUCAAUCAAUCCUAUGUGAAUUUGUUAAACAUUUCUUCUGAAGUAUUGAGAAGAUUAAUCAAUUUUAUCUAUAAUUAAUGAUGACAUUUGAAUAUUUGAUUUGAUUCAAUUUGAAGUAUAUAUUCAACCAUUACACUAUUGUCAAAGUACUCAAAUAGUCUCUGCACUUAGAUAUUUUCUUCAAUUUAGUCCAUUUACUUAAAAUCGUAACAAUUUAAUCUCUUAAUUUUAAAAAUUACUUCAAUUUAGUUCUUACAAUAUUUUCUUUUCAAAUUUACCCUUUUAUGGUGUUGACAUCAACGCUAAUGUAGCACCAAAUGCUGAAGUGGCAUGUGAGGUGGGAUCGGGUUACUACCACGUCACUCACUUCUUCUCUAUAAAAUAAUUUUAAAUUUUUUUUACACUCUUGCUAAAAUUCAAACUAUGGACCUUUAACAAACACACCAAAAUCUUUAUCACCACACCCAAACAGUUGCUUUUGUUUCUUUUUGUUCUUUUCUUUACUGUUUUUCUUUCUUAUUUUUUUCCUUUCUCUCUUUAUCCUCCCACCUUCACCCUUAAAAUUGGCAAUCGUCACCUACUGACAAUUGGUCGCCAUUCAUCGGUCAUCAGUCGUUGAUCAUCAGCCAUCAGUAUCAAUGAUCGACGAUUGGUCUUUAAGGGAGAAAGUGGGAGAAAAGAGAGAAAGGGAAAAAAAAGAAAAAAGAGCAAAAAGGAGGAAAGAAAAAAAAGUAAGAAAUAAUUAAAAGUAAGGGUUUAGGUUUGUUGGUAAAUACUUGGUUGGGCUUGGUAGAUGUUUUUGGUUCAAAUUUCAACAAGCACAUAAAAAAUCUCAAAUAUUUUUAGAGAAAAAGAGAGUAAUGUGGCAACCUUCCUAAAAUGUCACGUGGCAUCAAUGCCACAUCAGUAUGUCCAUCAAUCUUCCCUACCACAUCAUCAAUGUUUGCCAUGUCAACUGCCACGUCAACAACUUGAUCCCACCUCAAUUGCCCGGUCAACGCCACAUCAAUGUUGACAUCAACACGAUAAAAGGUAAAUAUGAAAAGAAAAUAUUGGAAAGACUAAAUUGAAGCAAUUUCCAAAAUCAAGAGGCUAAAUUAUUGUGAUUUUGAGUAGAAGGACUAAAUUGAAGAAAAUGCCUAAGUGUAAAGACUAUUUGGGUACUUUGAUCAUUAAAAACAAUAGACUGUAAUAAUUCCUUCAAAGGAAUUUCUUUAUACUACCUUUAUAUAUGAUGACAUGGACAAAACACACCAUUUUGGCAUCACACAAGGAAGUGUGAAACCCAUAGGGUACACAUAAAAAAUGAAUCAAACAUUGCUGCAAAAAAAAAAAAACCAAAACAAUAGCACAAGAUAAUAUCAAAAAAGCAGUAGCAAAAAAUCAUACAAAGAUAACACAAAAUAACCAAAAGGACAAUCCUUUCAAAAAUAAACACACACCAACUCAUUACAACCUAAGAGAGCAAGGAAAACAUAGACAACAGAAUUCCAGCAGUAGAAAAUCCAAACAAUCACAAGACAAAAGACAAAACAAAAGCAAUUUAGCAAUCAAGAAAAGACAGAGGUUCCACAACAAGAGAUAAGAAACCAGAAAUCAUCACUUAACUAAAAGUUUGAAAAAGAUAAACUAAACGGUGAACUCCCUCAUUGGCUAAACAAUCAGCAAGCUGAUUAGCUGAUCUUGGAACGUGUACAAUAGACUAUUUUAGAAUUUUAUGUUUCAAGUUGUUGAUGAACUUUAAUGUACUUUCAUCCUCCAUGUAGUAAAGGAAGAGUCAUUACACCAUUUCACUACAUUAAAAGAAUCUAAUUCCAUAAUAAGCUUCUGUGAACGUGCCUAGGGACAAGUAGCAAAAAGAAGAAAAGCUUCUUUGAUAGCUGUGGUCUCUGCUAAGUUCGAAUUAGCAACUCCCAAUGGUUUAGAAAAAAGAAUUAUGACACAGCCAUUGUUGUCUCUUAAUGCCCUUCCAAUCCUAGCCUUUAUUGUAGUGAUGAAAAUGCUGAUGCUACUUUCUUGUUACAGCUCGAGGUUAACUGAGCCCUAUUGAUAUUGGUAUAUUUUGUUCACUGUGUGAUUUAUUUUAGGGUAAUAUGCAAAAAUAAAAUGCUUUGUCAGUCUGUCAUAAUCAGAAACUCACCAAUCUUUCCUCUGUAAAAGGAAUUCUCAAUAAAUCCUAUGUGAAUUUGUGAAACAUUUCUUCUUAAGUAUUGAGAGAUUAAACAAUUUUAUCUAUAAUUAAUGAUGACAUUUGAAUUUUUGAUUCAAUUUUAAGUAUAAAUUCAACCAUUACACUAUUAAAAAUGGUCAAAGUACCUAAAUAGUCUCUAUACAUAGGCAUUUUCUUCAAUUUAGUUCUUCUACUCAAAAUCGUAACAAUUUAGUCUCUUAAUUUUGAGAAUUACUUCAAUUUAGUCCCUACAACAUUUUCUUUCCAAAUUUACCUUUUAUGGUGUUGACAUCAGCGCUGACAUGUACUAGAUGCUGAAAUGGCAUGUGAGGUAAGAUCGGGUUAUUGCCACACUCUCUUCUUCACUCUAAAAGAAUUUUAAAUUUUUUUUAUGCUAUUGUUAAAGUUCAAACUAUGGACCUCUAACAAAUGCACCAAAGUCCUUAUCACCACACUUAAACCAUUGCUUUUGAUUAUUUGUUGCUUUUGUUUCUUUUUUUCUUUUCUUUUCUAUUUUUCUUUCCUAGUUUUUUUCCUUUCUCUCUCUCUCUCUCUCCUCCCACCUUCACCCUUAAAAUCGACAAUCGACGCCUAUUGGUAGUUGGUCGCCAUUGAUCAUUGUUGGUCACCGAUCGUUGACUGUCAAUACCAGUGACUGACGGUUGGUCUUUAAGGGAAAAGGUGAGAGAAGAAAAAGAAAGGAGAAAAAAAAAGAAAAAGAGAGAAAAAAAGAAGAAAAGAAACAAAAGUAAGAAAUAAUUAGAAGCAAAGGUUUAGGCUUGGUGGUCAAGACUUUGUUGUGCUUGGUAAAGGUUUUUGGUUCAAAUUUCAACAAGAACAUAUUCUUAGAAAAUAAGAGAAUGACGUGGCAAUCUUCUUAACAUGUCACGUGGCAUCAAUGCCACAUCAGUAUGUCCAUCAAUCUUCCUUACAACGUCAUCAAUGUUUACCACUUCAGCAUUGACGUGGUAGUGCCAUAUCAGCAUUGAUGUGUUAGUGCCACGUUAACAACUCGAUCCCAUCUCACUUGCCAUGUCAACAUAUGGUGUCACAUCAACACCACGUCAAUGUCAACAUCAACACCAUAAAAGGUAAAUUUGAAAAGAAAAUGUUAGAAGGACUAAAUUAAAGUAAUUUUCAAAAUUAAGGAGCUAAAUUGUUAUGAUUUUGAGUAAAUGGACUAAAUUGAAGAACACACCUAAGUAUGGGGACUAUUUAAGUACUAUGAUCAUUUUGAUGGAAAUUCUUUAUACUUCCUUUAUAUAUGAUGACAUGGACCAAACACACCAUUUUGGCAUCACACAAAGAAGUGUGAAACUCAUAGGAUACACAUAAAAAAUGAAUCAAACAUUGCUGCAACAAAAACCAUAAUAAUAACAACACAAGAUUAAUAUCAAAACAACAGUAGUGAAAAAUCAUGCAAAGAUAACACAAAAUAACCAAAAAGACAAUCCUCUCGAAAAUAAACACAGACCAGCUCAUUGCAACACAAGAGAGCAAUUAAAACAUAGACAAUAGAAUUCCAGCAGCAAAAAAUCCAAACAAUCACAAGACAAAGACAAAACAAAAGCAAUUUAGCAAUCAAGAGAAAAGAGAGGUUUCACAACAAGAGAUAAGAAACUAGAAAUCAAUCAUCACUUAAUUGAAAGUUUGAAAAAGAUCAACUAAAUAGUGAAUUCCCUCAUUGGAUAAACAAUCAUCAAUCUAAUUAGCUGAUCUUGGAUCGUGUACAAUAGACCAUUUUAGAAUUUUAUGUUUCAUGUUGUUGAUGUAGUUUAAUUUACUUUUCAUCCUCCAUGUAGUAAAAGAGGAGUCAUUACACCAUUUCACUACAUUAAAAGAAUCUAAUUCCACAAUAAGCUCAUGUGAAUGUGCCUAGAGACAAGCAGUGAAAAGAAAAAAAGCUUCUUUGAUGGCUAUGGUCUCUAUUAAGUUCAAAUUAGCAACUUCCAAUUGUUUAGAAAAAAGAAUUAUGACACUGCCAUUGUUGUCUCUCAAAGCCCUUGCAAUAUUGGCCAACCCUAGGCAUCCUUUAGUUGCUCUAUCCACAUUAAACUUCAUAAAUAUUAUGUUUGGUUUAACCCAUUCCACUGUUGGCUUGUCUUUUUUCAAAGUCACUCUAACUUUUGCACAAGAGGCUCCCUCACCACAUCCAGAACAGAUGGAUUUUCAAAAGACCAUUUGGCCUUUGCCCACCAUCCAAUUCUAAGUUUAACCACAUCGUACAUUUAUCGGAUAUCCCAUAACAUCCCUUUGAAAACUAGGUCAUUUCUAUGAAGCCAGAUGUUCCAUAGAAUUGCAAAUAAGGCCAUGCGCCAAAUUGGACUACUCCCACCACCAGAAAUAUUAGGAUUCCAAGCAGUGAAUAAAGCUUCUAAAUUACCUGACAAAACCCAAUUAUACCCCUAAUUGUUAAUCUAAAGGUUUCAUACUUGCCAAGAAUCAUAGCAACUGAGGAAGAGAUGAUAUGCCAUCUCUAUCUCUUUAUUACAAUAAGGCAUAAAGUAGCAUUCUCAUUGCUAAUGCCUCUUUUAAAGAGCUCUAUUUUAACCGCCACCUACCCAUGGAGGACUUGUCAGCAAAAGACUUCUACUUUUGAAGGAACAAUAAGCUCACCAAUUAACCUCAUGCUCGUUGCUCAAUAUCCACCUUGCAAACCACCAACAGUACACAUGUGUACCUUGUGGAACGUGCCAACUUGUGAAUAGUCUCCCUCAAGCAACUUUGUUGCAUGCACAAUGAACUUGCAUGCCUUGUCUUUACAAGCAACCUCAAAACGGGGCGUGACAUGACUUUUUAACUUUAAUCUCGAAAUGCUCUUUUAGUUCCAACAUGUUCAAAGCUUAUUUCAAUUUGGCCUUGGAUGGAAACAUUUUUCCUUGAUAUAAGUCGUCAUUGGUUGAUUUGGACUCCAUGGUGGCAAUUGUUUGGAAGGAUAUCAUAUCUAACCCUGAAAUAAUUCAUUGACGAGAUAUCCUUACAUUUACCAUUAUUUGAUCACUGUCAUCGAGAGAACGAAUCCCGUUGUCACCAACAAUGGAGUUGUCAUAAAUAGGGUCAUCACAUUGAACAUCUUCUAAGACAAUAGUUGUGGCAUGGUCAUAGCACUGAACAUCUUCUAACUCAAUAGUUGUGGCAUGUUUUAUACUACCAUCUGCAUAAUUGCAAUUUGGAAUGUCAUUGUUGUCAUCCUUGUCCUCCUUUGAACAAUCAUUAUGCCUGCCAACGUAAUUGUCUUCACAGUCAUUGUCCAUCUCAUCAUUCCAAUUAGUAGUGUCAUCCUCUUCACAGUCAUCAUCCAUCUGACCAGAUGUUUCAUCAUCACUCACGACCAUUAUGGUGUCGUUUGCGAAUGGCAAUGGACCCACUGCAUUCUUAGGUGACGAUUGCAUUUGUUGGCAAGAACAAAGUAUUUUGUUUAAUGCACAUUCUGAUCGAAAUUAUCUGUGUGUGUACCAGGCUACUCAAACUCGUUUGCAUAUGUCAAUGGUGAUUGCCAUUGCUAUCCGUUAGGUAUUGCAUGGUGUGGUAUGUCUGAAGCAGUAUAAUUUUGAUUUAGGUUAUUACUAUGUUAAACACCUUGUUUGUGUGGCAUAACAUCUGCAUUUUGUUCCUUAACUGUCACAAACACUACAACCGCCCCCUCAUCUCAUAGAUUACUUGCUAAAUCUUCAUUGUCCUUAACAACUGCACAUGAAACCUCUACGACAUGACUGAGCAAUGUAUGUAGCUCGAUUUCGUGAUUCUGUGAGUUACCCCAACGACAUCUUCAACCAGCUUCAUUAGGUCCGAAAAUAAUAAAUCACUCCCAACACUCCUCACUCGUGUCUCACCACCCUUAUAAGUGUCAUCAACUCAAUGACCACCGCACAAUUAUAAGCUUCAUAUUUAGCAUGCCGUUGAAAUUUAACAGAAAAUAAAUGUCACAAUCAAUUAAUUUAUCAAAAAAAAAACAUGUGUAAUCAUAAGCUUCAAUCAAUUUGUAACGUAAUGCCUAACAAACCAGUCUGGCAAUGCCUAACAAACUAUUCAUGCAAUACCUAAAAAUUAGUCCCACAAUCACUAUAACCAGUUACUCAAUAUCUAAAAAUUAGUCCCACAAUGCCUAAAAAUCAAUCUCGUAAUUCCUACAACCUAGUCACGUAAUACCUAAAAGCUAGUCUCGCAAUGCCUAAACACUAAUCUUGCAAUGCCUACAAACUAGUCACACAAUGCCUAAAACCCUUCUUUCUCCUAUGCCUAGAAACUAGUGACUCAAUGCUUAAAAACCAAAAACGUAUGGUUAAUAACUAAUUGAUUUACUUACUCGCAACAACCAGGUUUAAGUUGCCAAGGUCAUACAAGUCUCUAAUUUAUAGACAUGUUUAAUCAAUUUCAAUCCAUUGACUUUGAGAUUCCAUUCUAUGAAUAUAACCUGAAUUAUAACCUGAAUGAAGGUUCAUUAAAGGUAGAGAGCAAGGUGUGUUGGAGUUUGAAAAGGACUCUAAAACUGUAACUACACAUAAUGUCCACGGAAUUAUGCAAUAAUGGUGACUGUUUUUUGAGCACAAUAUGUCUGAAUGUAGACCGAAGGAUAAAUGUGCAAGUACAUAGGUAGAGUGGGGGAAUUAAAUGUGCGAAUGGAAAGGAUUUGUUGCACCUGAGUUUUGCAGCUAUUUUGAUUUAAGACAGGUGGGUUCAGACAAGAUAUGUUUGGGUUCAAACAAAGUUGCAUGAUGUAUUUAAGGACAGUCUGAUGUAUAGAUAUUCCCAAAUCUAGGUAUUUAGAUUAUGUGGGGUUUUAGUUAUUUCAUAUUUAUUUUAUGUUUCUUGUAACCAAUAAGUUCAUAAGUUAUUUUUGGCUUUUGGCUCUUGGCAAUCAAAAAGCUUAAUUUUUACAAAAAAAAAAUAUAAGUAGGACCUAAUUAUAACUUAACUUAAAUAAAUAAGAUGUACCACAAAAUUGAAAUUAACUUUUCUAAGGUCUUAAAAUAUAUGUUUAAGAAUAAAGAUAAAUAGUUAUCACAAAAUUAUUGUAAAAUAUAAAAAUAUAACAUUUUUUUUAUAAAAAAAUUUAAUUAAUUUGUAUCCCUAGCUUCAAAGAACUCUUACACAAAAAAAAAUAAAAAAUUUUACACAAUUAAAUAAAAAUAUUGAUGUUAAAAAAUAAUAUUUUUAAAAAUAUUAACAUAAAUGUUUGAAAACAAGGAUAAAAAUUCAUAAGUUUUAAGGUUAAAAAUUCAUAAUUUUUAAGGUAAAAUGGUAAAAAGUAUCAUAAUUAACUUAAAAUAAUUUAUAAUGAUUAUAAACAUUAAAACUAACAUUGUUAAAAAUGUUAGUGUAAAUGUGUGAGAAUAUGGAUAAAAAUACAUAAUAUUUAAUACAAAAAGAAUAAGAAAUGUCUAUUCAAUUUAAGAUAAUUUAUGAUAAUUAUAAACAUUUAAAAUUAAUAUUUUGAAAAAUGUUGAUGUAAACGUGUGAAAAUAAAGAUAAAAACAUGUAACAUCUAACUAUAUAAAAUGAAUAUAAAUUAGCAUCAUCAACUUAAGAUAAAUUAUAAGCAUUAAAAAUAACCUUUUUGUUCUAAAAAAAUAACCUUUUUGAAUAAAGAUAACAAAACGUAAUAGCUACUAUAAAAUGAAAAAAAACUGUUGUAAUCAACUUCAAAUAAGCUAUGAUAAUUAUAAAUGUAACGGAAGAUAAGAAUAAAUAUAACUUGAUAAUAGUUUAUCAUAAAUAACUAAGAUAUCAAUCUAAAUUUCAAACUAGCCUUCAUAAAAUCGUAACUUAAAAGUUGAUAACAUAAACAAAAUAAACUGAACAGUUCUCGUAAAUGAAUAAAACUUAAUCUAAAAUUUAAAUUAAAAGAAUCUAACAUACAUAAGUAAUAUAAAUUGUAAAAAUAUAUAAUAUGUGGCAUAAAGUAGGUAAGGAGUGUCCUAAUUAUAUACAAACUAGAAUGCUUCCUGCGCGUUGAGUUAGGAAAUUGUUAUUUUAUGUGUAUUGUUUGAAAUAUUAUAUGAAAGGUUAUCAUUAUCUUAAAUAGAAGUUUAAUUAUUUGUUUGAUGUUAUUAAAAGAAUAUAGUUUAACAAAUUGUUAACUUUAAUUAUGUAGUUGAUGUUAUCAUAACAGAAAAACUAACUAAAUUAUUAACAUUAAAAUAUACAUUGAUGGUUAGAAAGAGUGUAAUAUUCAAUGUGCAUAAAUGACAUAGGAUGCUAUCAAUAAUGGAAAAAAAAAAAAGAAAAAAAGGUUAAGUAUGCUAUAUUGGAAACAGUGAAUAUUUGAAUAAUAGGUAACUACUUGUGAGCAUUGUAUUGUAUAAGAAAAAAUUAUUUACAUGAAUUUGAAUAGCUUGAAGUCAUAGCUUAGAAAUAUUUUUAGAAAGCCAAAUCCAUUUGCAUCAGCAAAAAACAAAUUGUCAAAACCAAAAUGGCUAAAAAUUUUGUUGAAAUUAGAAAAUAAAAGAAAAACCAAAACCAAAUCACAAAAUCAAAUUAAACAUCACAACAAAGAAGAAAAAAAUAAACAGAAAUAAAGAAUUCACACAACAUUCAAGAAAAAAAAACCUCCAAAACUCAUUACAAGCGAAACUAAAUUUCAAAGACAAAGACAUCAACCUAGACAAUAAUUAAAAAGACAACAGAAUCAGAGAACUAAGAGUCCAAAAAAAGCCCAAAUCAAGCGAAACUCAGAGAGGAAGACAAUGAAAGCAGUAACGGAAAUCAAACAUACAAAAUAUAAGAAUCAAAACAAAAGAACAAACCAAACCAAAUCUAAAACACCAAGUAAACAAUCAAGCCAAAAAAAUAAUAAACCAAACCAAAUACAAAAGUCAAGGACAGCACCAAAUCGCAGAAGAAAAGAAAAAAAAUUAUAAAUCAAAAUACAAAAAAGUAAAGAAAUCAAGAAGAAGAACACCUCAACGAAUCAAAUAACAAAGAAAAUGAACAAAAAAGCACCAAAAGAAAUAAAGAAAACAAAACCAAAUAAAAUAAAAAAAAGAAAAGAGCAGUGAAAAGAGAGGAGAAAACAAUGAAAACAAUAGAGAAAGCAAGAAAUGGGAAAGGGCAGAAAAACCUAGAGGGAAAAGGAAUAAUCUAGAAACAUAGUAAUGAAAAAGAUCAAAAUAAGAUGUAAACAUAUUAAAAUCCCAAAACACCCACAAAAUAAAGGAAAGAUUGAUAGUGAAAAGACAAAAGAAGACUAAAAAAAUCCCACCAUCACCAAAUAAGCCACCAGUUGAAACCCAAAAAAAAAAAAAAAACCAGUAGAGGGCUUCAUUGAAUGACAAACCUCAAUUUUAACUCACUUUUAAUAUAUAGUACAGAUUUUAUGUCCAAGUCAAUUGCGCCUGAUGAAAAGACACAAUAUUUUGUUGAUAAAUUAAUUUUGUACAUAAACAAAUAAAUUUAAUAGUAUUUGAAGAAAAUUCAACUUUUAAAAUUCACACCAAUAUUAAUUUCUUACAUCAUAACUAGAAGAACAUAAAUAAUAAUAAUAAACAUUUAAUUUAUUUUUUAAAACUUUUAAAUGUGAUAUAUUUACAUGUGAUAGGUAACUAAAAAGAAAAUUGAAACUACUACUAUUUACCUAAUUUUGUUAAAAUAUUUAUUAAUUGCAUUCAGCUUUAUGGUUUUUUAUUAUGUUUGUUGAAUUAAAUCUUUAUUACUUAAAAUAAUCUGUCAUCCAAAGUGAAAUAAUUAAUGAUAUUCUUAAUUAAUAUGAUUAUUGUAGCAUAAUUUGAUAUGUAAACAAAGAAAUACUAAGUAAAAUAACAAAAUAUAUUUGUUAUAAAUCAGUUAAGAUAUGACUUAAUUAUACUAAAAAUUACAUUUAUUUGCAAAAAUCAGUAAAAUCAAUAUAAAAUAAUUAAGAUAGACAAUUUAUCUUAUUAGUUAAAUGAACGAAACAAAUAAAAAUAUAUUUACUUUACUUUUCAAUUUAACUUUUAACCUGUUUUACCAUUUUCUUUGUUUUAUUUUUAAAUUUAUUCUUUUUCUAUUUCUCAUAAAAUAUUUUAUGACUUUAUUUCAAGGUCAAUAUUUUUGUAAUCUUACUUUAAAUAUACCAAUUUGCUUCCACUAAGUGCAUGCUUGAUCAUUCCCUCCUAUUCUAAUCUCUUUUUAAUAUUACUUAUUCUAUUUCUUUUCAUUCUAUGAGCCAAAUUACUUAAUAGAUAUUUCUGUCCUAUUUUAUUUUCACAAAAUAAUUAUUCAAUUUUUUCUCUGUUUCAUUCCACAAACCAAAUACGCAUCCCUGACUUGGUAUAGGAAAUUAUGAAUGAAGAGAACUAGGAGCAAGGAACGAGGAAAGGCCCAAAUUCAUUCUGAAAUUUGUAACAUUGUUCUCCCUGGCUUUUCCCAACCUUAAAAGUGAACGUAAAGAAUUAAUUUCUUCAGGUGUGAAAUAUGUCUAUAUAUAUAUAUUAACAAAGGCAAAGAUUGAAGCAUAUGUCAAAUGUUAGCCAUUCUGUCUUCAGCAAGAUUGAAGCAUUGAAGCAAUCUUCCGAUGCUUGGAAGGCAACUAAUACGACAGAAAGGUUGCUUGAACUAUUUUUCGAGCCAACUAUGAAAUUGCAGUUACUAUAAAUCCCAAGCUCAAGGCGAAGAAGAACAAAUUCCUGUGAACUACAACCGGCAAACCAGUUCUUUACAAAUCACAGAAUCCCAGCAUUAAUGGACAAGGGUAAGAAGAGAUUGGCUGUUCUGGUUGGAUGCAACUACGCCAACACCCAGCACGAGUUGCAUGGUUGCAUAAAUGAUGUGGUAGCAAUGAGAGAGGUGCUUGUUGAAAGAUUUGGGUUCGAUCCUAGCCAUAUUGAGCUCCUGACUGAUGCACCGGGGUCCUUGGUUAUGCCUACAGGUGCAAACAUUAAGGCUUCACUUAAUGAGAUGAUGAACAAGGCUGAGGCAGGGGAUGUCCUGUUUUUCCACUAUAGUGGACAUGGAACGAGAAUUCCAUCCUUGAAACCUGGCCAUCAUUUCAGGCAGGAUGAAGCAAUCGUGCCUUGUGAUUUCAAUCUCAUUACGGGUAAUUAAACCUUUGCCUUUGUGUUUUAUGUAGAAAAGAGAUCCGUUUAUCAUCUAUUUAUAAAACUUAAGAACUAUAACACUGAUAUGACUUGAUAAACACCGUCCUGCAGAUGUGGACUUCAGGCAAUUAGUUAACAGACUACCAAGAGGAGCAACCUUCACAAUCCUUUCAGAUUCCUGCCACAGCGGUGGUCUCAUUGACAAAGAGAAAGAACAAAUUGGACCCUCUAUUGUAAAGAACACAACGUCAGUUUCCUACACGGUUAAAACAAUUCCUUUUCAAUCCGUACUUCGGCACCUAUCAUCACUAACAAGCAUCAACACAUCAGAUAUCGGCACUCAUUUGUUAGAAUUCUUUGGGGCUGACGCCAGUCUCAAGUUUCGUUUACCCAAGCUUGAAUCAGAUUUGUUGGAGUCAUUGAAGACGGACGAAGGGAUUCUGUUGAGUGGGUGCCAAGCAGAUGAAACAUCAGCUGACAUGAACGCAAUUGAGGGUGGAGGGAAGGCGUAUGGGGUGUUUAGCAAUGCAGUGCAUAUGGCACUGAAUGAGAACUCGGGUGCAUUAAGCAAUCGGAAAGUUGUGAUGAUGGCCAGGAGGGUUUUAGAGGCACAGGGAUUUGCGCAGCACCCUUGCCUUUAUUGCAGUGAUGGGAAUGCUGAUGCUACUUUCUUGUUGCAGCCCGAGGCCAACUAAGUCCUAUUGAUAUUGGUUAUUCUGUUUGCUGUGUGAUUCAUUUUGGCGUAAUAUGCAAAAAUAAAAUAUUCUGUCAGUCUGUCGGAUUCAGAAACUCACCAACCUUUCCCCUGUAAGAGGAAUUCUCAAUCAAUCUUAUGUGAAUUUGUGAAACAUUUCUUCUUUAAGUAUUGAGAAGAUUAAUCAAUUUUAUCUAUAAUUAAUGAUGGCAUUUGAAUAUUUGAUUCAAUUUUAAGUAUAUAUAUAUUCAACCAUUAUACUAUUAAAAACAGUCAAAGUACCCAAAUAAUUUUUGUAAUUAGGCAUUUUUUUCAAUUUAGUUUCUCUACUCAAAAUCAUAAUAAUUUGGUCCCUUGAUUUUGAAAAUUGUUUCAAUUUAGUCCCUCUAACAUUUUUAUUCCAAAUUUACCCUUUAUGAUGUUGACAUUAAGGCUAACGUUUCUUCAAUUUAAUCCCUCUACUCAAAAUCGUAAUAAUUUAAUCUAUUGAUUUUGAAAAUUACUUCAAUUUAGUUCCUCUAACAUUUUUUUUUCAAAUUUACCCUUUAUGAUUCUAAGGUAGCAUGUGAGGAGGUAUUGAGUUGAUGCCACAUUACUUUCUUCUUUUCUCUAAAAGAAUUUUAAAUUUUUUUUACGCAUUUGCUAAAGUUCGAACUAAUCACCUUUAACAAACACACUAAAGUCUUUACCACCACACCUAAACCGUUUCUUUUGAUUAUUUGUUGCUUUUGUUUCUUUUUUCUUUUCUUUUUGAUUUUUCUUUCUUAUUUGUUUCUUCUCUCUCUUUCCUCCCACCUUCUCCCUUAAAGACCAACGACUGUCACCCAUCGACAGUCUAUCGUUGGUUGUCAAUCGAAGGUAGCCUACAAUCAAUUUUCGUUCAUCAAUCAUCGUUCAUCAAUUGUUGGUCAUCAAUCAUCAACUGUUGAUAUUGGUGACAGGCGACCAAUCUUUAAGGGAAAAGGUGAGAGAAGAGAGAGAAAAGUAAAAAAAAAAGAAAAAAAAAGGAAAAGAAACGAAAGUAAGAAAUAAUUAAAAGCAAGGGUUUAGGCUAGAAAAAAGUGACGUGGUAGCCUUUCUAACAUGUCACGUGGUAUCAAUGCCACAUCAGCAAGUCCAUCAAUCUUCCUUGCCACGUCAUCAAUGUUUUCCAUGUUAGUGCUCACAUGGCAAUACCACGUCAACAACCCAAUCCUACCUCACAUGCCAUGUCAGCAUCUGGUGUCUCAUCAAGACCAUGUCAAAGAUGACAUCAACACCACAAAGGGUAAGUUUGGAAAGAAAUGUUGAAAAGAUUAAAUUGAAACAAUUUUCAAAAUUAAAGAAUUAAAUUGGUUGCAAUUUUGAGUAAAGUGACUAAACUGAAGAAAACACCUAAAUACAUGGACUAUGUGAAUACUUUUAACCAUUAAAAACAACAGAGUGUAAUAAUUCCUUUGAUGGAAUUUCUUUAUACUUCUUUUAUAUAUGAUGACAUGGACAAAACAUGCCAUUUUGCAUCACACAAAGAAGUGUGAAACCCAUAAUAUACACACAAAAAAUGACUCAAACAUUGCUGCAACAUAAAUCAAAACAACAGUAGCACAAGAUAAUAUCAAAACAGCAACAAUGAAGAAUCAUACAAAGGUAACAUAGAACAACCAAUAGGACAAUCUUCUAAAAAAUAAAUGCAAACCAGCUUAUCACAACCCAAAAGAGCAAUGAAAACAUAGACAACAGAAUUCCAAAAAAAAAAAAAAAUCCAAACAAUUACAAGAGAAAAGGCAAGAUAGAAGCAAUUUAGCAAUCAAGAGAAGACAGAGGUUCCAUAAUAGGAUAUAAGAAACCAAAAAUUGUCACUUAGUUGAAAGUUUGAAGAAUAUCAAUUGAACGGUCAACUCCUUCUUGGGCUAAACAAUCAGCAAGCUGAUUAAGUGAUCUUGGAACAUGCAUAACAGACCAUUUUAGAAUUUUAUGUUUCAAGCUGUUGAUGAAGUUUAAUGUACUUCUUAUCCUCCAUGUAGAAAAGGAGGAGUCAUUACACCAUUUCACUACAUUAGAAGAAUCUAAUUCCACAAUAAGCUCAUGUGAAUAUGCCCAAGGACAGGUAGUAAAAAGAAUAAAAGCUUUUAUGAUAGCUGUGAUCACUACUAAGUUCGAAUUAACAACUCUCAACGGUUUAGAAAAUAGAAUAAUGACAUAGCCAUUGUUGUCUCUCAAAGCCUUUCUAAUCUCAGCUAACCCCGGGCAUCCUCUAGCCGCUCUAUCCACAUUAAACUUAAUAAAUAUGAUGUUUGGUUUUUCUAAAAGUGUAAGCAUGAGGAAUGCUAAUUUUGUUGAGCUUCUUGCCAUUAAAAAAGUUUUAUUGAUCUUUGUUGCCUCUGAUUGGGUUUCUUCUUAUGAACCUAUUGUUAGAAAAAAAAUUAUUAGCAACAAAGGAAUAUAAAACAAGUAAAACAGUAAUUGGUCUGAGGCGUGGUAUCACUGUCUUUAAAGAUAAUUUUUACCACUUCGGAGUAUAAAACUCGGUGCAAAAGGACUGUAGCGGUUAUCCUCCAAGACUCAACAAACCCUUCCUUAUAGUUUGCAUAAACUAUUAAGGGAUGACAAGAACAGUAGAAAAGAAAAAACCCAGCUACAAAAGAAAUGAGGCAAGGAAAACUUAAGAGAAGAAAGGAGGUAGAGGAAUUAAUGGAGAAAGCUUAAGAGAAGAAAAGCUUUGGUGUGUGUUGUGAGUGAUGGUGUGAGGCUAUAUUUAUAGGCAUGAAGUGAAGUGAACGUUGCACCACAUAAGGUGAACGUUGCAACAGAUUAGGAAGUUGAGAAAAACCUAGUCUGCAUUUGUACUAAGUCAGAUAAACGUUGGAGUAAAACUAGGAUAAACGUUGGAGCAAAACUAAGAGAACCAAGUAAGCAUGGUAGAGUUUGAGUUUGAUUUAAUCAAGGGAUGAAAAUGCUUAAAAACUUAAAUCUAAGGUACAAAAAGUCACUUGGGCACAGCCCACGUGUGUAUUCGUGCGCAGGGGGGGAAUCUGAAAUUUCUAAAGGUUUGGCCCAAUCUUGUGUGCGUGCGAGCCUACUUCGUUUUGCUUGCUUGCAAUUAGCCCAUAGUUGGUUUUCAUAUAUAAGGCAUUCACCUUUUAUGUAUCUUGGCAAUGUGAGAUGUUUGAACCUUAUGAAAUACACUAUUUUCCAACAAUCCCCCACAUAUUUCAUAAGGUUUUAUAAGAAGUUUUGCUGGUCAAAUUUCAUUUAAGUGUAAUGCAUCAUGACUGGUGCUUUUUAAGCUAUGAACCACCCCUAGAAAGAAUGAAAUAUAAGUCACAGAAUUUUGGUGAAGUUUGUAACUUAUAUGAACCAAAAUUCUUUAUGUGAAAUAUAGUUUUCAUCAAUCACAUUACACCCCCACAAUUUCUUCUGUUCAACACAAUUUUGCGUGAAUAGGCCAUGCACGUGCCUGGUUAUUCAUAAGUGCUCUAGAGAAUUUGCCAUAAUUCUCAUAGGAGCGGCCCCACUCCACACUUAUAUAGGUUGAUUCCAUCAAGUGUAUACUGCAAUAUAAUAUACUACCCUUAAGGGAUAUGGAAUGCAUUAAGAGUUUAACUCAACCUCUCUUGCAUUGCAGUUUUGCACUACUUACACACCAUCAGAGAGACAAUAAUUUCAAUAGUGCAUUAAUUUAUCAACAAAUAACUUGUUAUUACCCAUAUGAACCUAAUUCAUGGGAUUUCCAAUCACAUAGGUUGGGUUACUAUUAUUUGUUGAUUUCCUCAUUUGGCUUAAGUCCCAUGCCUCUCGAUGUAGCAUCAAUUAAUUUUCUUCCCAAGGGUUUAGUUAGAAGAUCGAUCAAAUUCAGCUCUGACUUCACAUAAUUAAUGGAUAUAAUUCCAUCUUUAAGCAACUACUUUACUACAUCAUGUCUCAAAUGAAUGUGUCUAUUUUUACCAUUGAAAGUUUUAUUCUUUGCAAUGGCUAUUGCCGCUUGGCAAUCAUAAUGUAUGGACACAUAAGGUGUUGGUUUCAUUCCUAAUGGAAUAUAUACUAAGAGGUUUCUCAACCACUCAGCCUCAUUGCCAGCCAACUCUAAAGCUACAAAUUCUGACUCCAUUAUAGAUUUAGCAAUUAUUGUUUGUUUGGCUGAUUUUCAAGUUAUAACACCCCCACCAAGGGUGAAUACAUAACUACUCGUAGAUUUCGUCUCAUUUGAAUCUGAGAUCCAGUUAGCAUCACUGUAUCCUUCUAAUACAACAGGAAAUCCAUUAUAUAAAAUACCAUAGUUUUAUGGUACCUUUCAAAUAUUUCAUCACCCUACUCAAGGCAAUCCAAUGAUCUCUAUUAGGACUUUGUGUAUAUCUACUCUGUCUACAUACAACAUAAGCUAUAUCUGGUCUAGUAUAAUUCAUCAAAUGCAUUGGACUCCCAAUAAUCUGUGCGUACUCAGACUGAGCUACAAUAUCACUUUUAUUUUUCUUUAAUUGGAUAUUACUAUCAUAAGGAGUACUCAUAGGUGUGACAUCAAAAUGUCCAAACCUUUUAAGUAGCCUCUCAACAUAAUGCUCUUGUGUUAGCAUUAAGCCACUAUCACAUCUUAUGAUUUUAAUACCCAAAAUAACUUUGGCUUCUUCCAGAUCUUUCACGUCAAAGUUAGAAGCUAAAAAACAUUUUGUUUUAUUGACCACAUCAAUGCAUGUACCAAAAAUAAGUAUAUCAUCAACAUAUAAGCUAAUAAUCACACAUUCACUAUCAACAGUUUUUGUGUACACACAUUUAUGAACUCCAACAGUAGAAAAUCCAUUACUAACAAGAAAUUGAUCAAAUUUCUCAAGCCAUUGUUUUGGUGCUUGUUUCAAGCCAUAUAAUAAUUUAAUCAAUUUACAAACUUUGUUUUCUUGACCAGGAAGAAUACAUCCCUCGAGUUGUGCCAUACAAAUUUCUUCUUCUAAAUCACCAUUUAAAAAAGUGGUUUUUACAUCCAUUUGAUGAACAACAAGUUUGUAAAUUGAAGCUAAGGCAAAUAAAACACGAAUUGAUGCAAUUCUUGUUACUGGAGCAAAAGUAUCAAAAUAGUCAAUAUUUGGUUUUUGAGUAAAACCCUUUGCAACUAAUCUAGCUUUAUAUUUAUCAAUAGAACCAUCAGGAUUAAAUUUCCUUUUAAAAAUCCAUUUGCAACCAAUUGGUUUGGCUCCAGGUGGUAAAUCAACUAAUUCCCAAGUUUGAUUUUGUAAAAUCGAAUCAAUCUCAUUUUGUAUGACUUCUUUCCAAAAUAAACUUUCUUUAAAAGAAAUUGUAUCAGCAUAAGUUAAAGGAUCAUUAUCUACAAGAUAAGUAUAAAAAUCAUUACCAAAAGAAAUUUUCUUCCUUGGUCUUUUACUCCUUAAAUCAUCAUUUUUAUAUUUCAAAAUCAUUUUUACUAAAGGGUGCAUGAGAAAUUGUAUCAGUUCUUAAUGAAAAAAUAAGCUCAAAAAAUUCAACAUUCUUUGUUUCAACAAUUGUAUUACAAUAAAGAAUAUCACUUUUUAAUACAAGAAAUCUAUAUGCAGCACUAUACUCAGCAUAACCAAUAAACAUUCAAUCAGAUGUCUUAGAAUCAAUUUUUCUCUUCUUAAAUUCAAGAAGCAUUACCUUAGCUAGACACCCCCAUACUUUCAAAUAUUUUAAAUUAGGAGAAUAAACUUUCCAUAAUUCACAAGAUGUCUUACCAGUAUUCUUAUAAGGUAUUCUAUUUUGAAUAUGACAUGCAGAUAAUAAAGCUUCACCCCACAAAUUUUCAUGUGCAUUGGAACUAACAAGCAUAGAGUUCAUCAUUUCUUUUAAUGUUCUAUUUUUUCUUUCAGCUACACCAUUUGAUUCAGGAGAAUAUGGAGGAGUAAUUUCAUGAAUUAUUCCUUCUUUUUCACAAAUAUCAUUAAUCGGUAUAUAUUCACCCCCUCUAUCUGAUCUAACUUUUUUUUUAUCUUUUUAUUCAGUUGAUUUUCUACCUCAGCUUUAUAUUUAAUAAACAUGUCAAAAGCUUCAUCUUUAUGCCUAAGCAAAUAAACUUUAGUAAAUCUAGAAUAAUCAUCAAUAAAUGUAACGUAGUAUUGCUUACCACCUCUAGUCACAGUUUGUUUUAGAUCUCCUAAGUCUAUAUGAAUUAAACAUAAUAAUUCAGAUUCCCUAUUUACUGAAAUACAAGUUUUCUUAGUUGAUUUCGUUUCAGCACAUAUUUUGCAUUUAUUAAAGCAUCCAUUUUUAAUACUAGAAGUUAAACCUAGUGAUUGCAUUUUCUUAAUAUAAGGAAUGCUAACAUGUCCUAGUCUACCAUGCCAUAAAUAAACAAAGUCAAUCAUGUAAGCGGAAAAAUUGCCAUUUUCAUUCAAAACAUUAGAAAUGUUAAGUACAAAGAGUCCCUGAUUGCAAUAACCCUUACCCACAAACACAUUAUUUUUUAUCAUCCCGAUCUUGUCAAAUUCGAAUGACACUUUCACCCUAACCUUGCCUAAUAAAGCCACAGAUACCAGGUUUGCCCUUAUAUUGGGAACAUGAAGAACAUCAUUUAAAGCUAGGGUUUCGCCAGAUGUGAGCUUGAGAAGGACUUUACCUUUACCAAGAACUUGAACAGUUCGAGAAUCACCAAGGUAUAUUGUCUCUUUUCCUUCCCCUACUGGAGUAUAGGAGGUAAAGGCAUUUCUGUUUGCACAAAUAUGCAUGGUAGCACCUGAGUCUACCACCCAUUCCUUCACACUGGCCACCAUAUUUGCUGUUAAAAUGACCGCAGCGAUUACAUUGUCAAAUUCAUCUACUUUGACCAAGUUGACUCUUGGAUUAGCAAGUUUGUCAUUUCCCUUUGCUCUUUUCCUACAUUUGUGCUGCAUGAUGCCCUGGCUUUCCAUAGACAAAACAACUACCCUUCUUUUUGAAGGUGGGAUGAAGAGCCUUGGGUUUAUGAUCAGGUUUGUAAGGGUACUUUUGUUGACGCUGGGUUCUGUCUUGCACCAGAUUGGCUUUAGUUGCAAUUUCUUUAGCUUUGGAGGCCUUAAUCUCCCUGCAAAUUGUGUCUUCAAUGAUGAUGUGCACAAUCAAAUCUACAAGUGACAACUACUUUUCCUUGUGCUUCACUUGUUGCUUGUAUCCAUUCUAGGAUUCUAGCAGCUUCUCAAUCAGUAACCCACCAACGAAUUCUUUUUGCAAGUUGAUUUUUUUCAGCCUUCAAAUUAUCCACCAGCUUAUGGUAUUCAUUAAUCUGACUCUUAAUGUCCUUGUCAUCUGUCAUCUUUCAGCGAUAAAAGUUGCCAAUCAUAAACUUUUGUUUCCCAACAUCUUCAGUAGUGUAAUUGGCUAUCAUUGACUCUCAUAUUUGCUUUGCUUAUUUGUAAGGGCUGUAUACAUCAAACAACUCAUUAGAAAGUGUGAUAAUGAUUGUAUGCCUGCAUACUUUAUAUGCAUGCAUCCACGGUUCUAGCAUCUUGACAUCAUCUUGCUUGGAAUCAAUUAGUGCAAUAGCCACCCCAUGAACAUCAAGGAUUGAAAAAAUCUUUUCUUGCCACCUUUUGAAGUUUCUACCAUCAAAGACUUCUAUUUUGGAAAUAUCUGGAAAUGGUUUGGCAUAUGAAACCGAGGGCAUAGGAACAAUGGUCAUCGGAGUAGGAGCUAUGGGGGAACCGUUGACAGUGGUGGUGGCAGUAGGGACAAAGGCAACAUUAGGAAUAGUGGCAGCAGCAUUAUCAACGUGGGACUCCAUUAUCCUUAAGAAUGUUAGAAAAAAAUUAUUAGCAACAAAGGAAUAUAAAACAAGUAAAAUAGUAAUUGGUUUGAGGCAUGGUAUCACUAUCCUUAAGGAUAAUUUUUGGCCCUUCGGAGUAUAAAAUUUAGUGCAAAAGGACUAUAGCGGUUAUCCUCCAAGAUUCAACAAACAUUUCCUUAUAGUUUGCACAAACUAUUAAGGGAUGACAGGAACAGCAGAAAGGAAAAAACCCAGCUAGAAAAGAAAAGAGGCAGGGAAAGCUUAAAAAAAGAAAGGAGGUAGAGGAAAUUAGUGGAGAAAGCUUAAGAGAAGAAAAACUUUGGUGUGUGUUGUGAGUGAGGGUGUGAGGAUGUAUUUAUAAGCAUGGAGUAAAGUGAACGUUGCACCAAAUAAGGUAAAUGUUGUCGCAGAUUAGGGAGCUGAGAAAAACCAGGUCUGCAUUUAUACUAAGUCAGAUAAACGUUGGAGCAAAACCAAGAAAAAUGUUGGAGCAAAACUAGGAGAACUACGUAAGCAUGGUAGAGUUUGAGUUUGAUUUAAUCAAAGGCUGGAAAAGCUUAAAAAAUUAAAGCCAAGGUACAAAAAGUCACUUGAGCACGGCCCACGUGUGUAUUCUCGUGCAGGGGGGAAUUUGAAAUUUCUAAAGGUUUGGCCCAAUCUUGUGUGUGCGCGAGUCCACUCCGUUUGCCUUGCUUGCAACAAGCCCAUAGUUGGUUUUCAUAUAUAAGGCAUUCACCUUUUAUGUAUCUUGGCAAUGUGGGAUGUUUAAACCUUAUGAAAUACACUAUUUUCCAACAAUGCCCCACAUAUUUCAUAAGGUUUUAUAAGAAGUUUCGUUGGGUCAAAUUUCAUUUGAGUGUAAUGCAUCUUGACUGGUGCUUUUUAAGCUAUAAACCACCCCUAGAAAGAAUGAAAUAUAAGUCACAGAAUUUUGGUGAAGUUUGUAACUUAUAUGAACCAAAAUUCUUUAUGUGAAAUAUAAUUUUCACAAUCACAUUACACUCCCACAAUUUCUGCUAUUCAAUGUGGUUUUGAGCGAAUAGGCCAUGCGUGUGCCUGGUUAUUCAUAAGUGCUAUAGAGAAUUUGCCAUAAUUCUCAUAGGAACGGCUCCACUCCACACUUAUAUAGGUUAAUUCCAUCAAGUGUAUAUUGCAGUAUAAUAUACUAUCCAUAAGGGAUAUGGAAUGCAUUAAGAGUUUAACUCAACCUCUCUUGCAUUGCAGUUUUGCACUAUUUACAAACCAUAGGAGGGACAAUAAUUUCAAUAGUGCAUUAAUUUAUCAACAAAUAACUUGUUAUUACCUAUAUAAACCUAAUUCAUGGGAUUUCCAAUCGUAUAGGUUGGGUUACUAUUAUUUGUUGAUUUCCUCAUUUGGCUUAAGUCCCAUUCCCCUCGAUGUAGCAUUAAUUAAUUUUCUUCCUAGGGGUUUAGUUAGAGGAUUGGCCAAAUUCAGCUCUGAGUUCACAUAAUUAAUGGAUAUAAUUCCAUCUCUAAGCAACUGUUUUACUACAUCAUAUCUCAAACAAAUGUGUUUAUUUUUACCAUUAAAAGUUUUAUUCUUUGCAAUGGCUAUUGCCGUUUGGCAAUUACAAUGCAUGGACACAGAAGGUGUUCGUUUCAUUCCCAAUGGAAUAUCUGCUAAGAGGUUUCUAGAAUGGAUGGAUUUUGUUUGUGCUAAUCAUGAUGUUUGCUCUGGUUUCAAAGCAUUGCACAGGUGUUUUGGGUUUUUGCCUUUUUUUUGGAUGAUUGUCUUUGUUGAUUUCGUUGAUCCUGUUGUUUGUUCUGGUUAAAGCUGAGUUGGUCUCAUUUUUAUUGUUUUGAUGCUCCUUUGUAUUUUUGCUCUAGCUAAAGUUGAACCUGGGUUGUUUUUCCUUAUAUUUUGUUCUGCAUAUGAGUUAUUGCUUUUCUAAGAACUGCCACUAUAGAUUCCAGGUUGUACCUGAUGGGGAAUGUUCUUAUCCCCAUUUUACUUUUAUUAAUGAAGUUUUACCUUUAAAAAAAAAUGAUGUUUGGUUUAACCCAUUCCACUGUUGGCUCGGCUUUUUUCGAAGUCACUCUAACUUUUGCAUAAGGGGCUCCCUCACCACAUCUAGAACAGAUGGAUUUUCAUAUGACCAUUUGGCCUUUGCCCACCAUCCAUUUCUAAGUUUACCACAUCCUACAUUUGUCAGAUAUCCCAUAACAUCCCUUUGAAAACCAGGCCAUUUCUAUAAAAGCUGAUGUUUCAUAUAUUUGCGAAAAAGGCCAUGGGCCAAAUUGGACUACUCCCACCACAAGAAAUAAUAGCAUUCCAAGUAGUAAAUAAAGCUUUUACAUUACUUGGCAGAACCCAAUUAUACCCCCAAUUUUUAAUCCAAAGGUUCCAUACUUGUCAAGAAUAAUUGCAACCGAGGAAGAGAUGAUCCGCUGUCAGUUAAAAUUCUACUAUACAAAUAUACGUAUCAAAUAGAUAAUAUAUAAGUAAGCAAAGUAUCGAUCCCAUAGAGAAUUGAUUUAAAAUUUUAUUAAGUAUUAAAAUUAGAAUAAUUUAAUCUUAUCCAAAUACUCAAAAUUAAUUGAUUAACUAAAACUAAUUAACUAAAAUUUAAACCAAUAGGAAAAAUCAAAAUAAUAAUAACUUAUCAAAUCAAGCAAGCCUAAGAUUACAAUAUCUUUCACACUUCAUCUAAGUCUUACCUCUCUUCCUUAACUUAUUUCAAUAGGUUGAAUUGCUAACCUAGAGUCCUAAUUUAUUUAUAAGGGUCUACCGACUCAUCUUAUAAAAAUAUUUAUUUUAACCAAAUCACUAUAUCACUAUGUGAAUUGAAAUUAAAACAGACUCAUUAAGUUCAGCUCUAAUCUGGCUACAUAUGGCCUAUAGGUAUAUCCCUAUCCUAUACGCAAAUCAAUUAAUAUAAUCAUAUGCUAUCUCAAUUUUAGUCUAUACUAAACUCGCUUUCCUAAGUUUUUUUAAGUUUCUAAAUCAAUUUAAUUGGUGGUCAAGCAAUUAAAAGCAUUAAGAACAAAUUAGAAUAAACAAUUUAACUCCCAUUGAAGAUAAGUAAGAAAGAGAUUACAAAACUAGAUUAUAUAUGAGUUCAAUUGUAAUCCUAGAAAAAGAAAAUUAGCUACUCAUGAUUACAAAAACAAAUAACAUCAUAAUAAAUUCAACCAUUGAGAGUAACAAUAAAAAUAAAAGCCAAAGAAGAAAAGAAAACAAUAUUUGCCGCUUGAUAUCCAAGUUUCAGCCUCAACUACUAGCUUCUUGAAUCUCCAAAAAGUUUUUUCUAAUAUUGUUAAAUAAAUCAUAUUUAUACUAAUAAAUUUAACUUAAAAUUUCUUAAGUUGACUUAGGGUUUAAUUAAACUUAAAAGUGUAAUGAGAGGCACAAAAAUCAAUUGUCAAUCUUGGCUACUGACCCCAAAAAAUGGCAGAGCAAGCUUGUUGAAAAUCAAGAGAAGAAGAGGUAAAAUGGAGAAUCGAAAAGCAUCAGAGCAUGUGGCAUGCAAUUCGCAUACGAAUUACAGCCUCCGCUGUUUGUCGAUUUCGAUCUCGACAUCUCUUCUGGAUCGAGUUGUCUUCUCGUGGGCUCCAACGGAUCUGGGCAGACGAUAUUGUUGAAAAUUUUAGCUGGAAAGCAUAUGGUUGGUGGAAGAGAUGUUGUGAGAGUGCUAAACCGUUCGGCUUUCCAUGACACUCAACUUGUUUGCAGUGGCGAUUUAGCUUAUUUGGGUGGAUCUUGGAGUAAAACUAUUGGCUCUGCUGGCGAGGUUCCAUUGCAGGGGGACUUCUCGGCAGAACACAUGAUAUUUGGAGUUGAAGGGAUUGAUCCUGUGAGGAGAUAAAAAUUGAUUAACCUGCUUGAUAUUGAUUUGCAAUGGCGAAUGCAUUAGGUAUCUGAUGGGCAACGGCAACGAGUCCAAAUUUGUAUGGGUCUUCUUCAUCCUUUCCAGGUUCUUUUGCUAGAUGAGGUUACGGUGGACCUUGAUGUUGUUGCGAGGAUGGAUCUACUUGAUUUCUUUAAGGAGGAAUGUGAGCAGAGAGGAGCCACAAUUGUAUAUGCAACCCAUAUCUUUGAUGGGUUGGAGACAUGGGCAACACAUCUAGCUUACAUCCAAGAUGGUGAAUUGAAGAGAUCUGAGAAGUUGACAUAAGUUACUGAGUUGAAAAGCUCAGAAAAUUUGCUUUCUGUUGUUGAGGCCUGGGUUCGCUCCGAAACCAAGUGCGAGAAAAAGAAACCCAUCAAAACCCCCGCCCAAGUCCAGAAGGCCUCGCCCUUUGGUACUUCUUCUUUCAUGUCAUCCAGGCACAUGGCACACUAUCGUUGAUCUCUCUUAAUCCAGCAAUUUUUCAAUAAUUUUUUGAAAAUCGAAGCCAGAAAUACAAGUGGGGAAAGUUUUCGUCAGCUACUAUUGACGUUUGCUCUCCCCACUAUAGAAUAAUAUACUUGUUAGCUCCAUCUUGUCUAAUUAAUAGGGAAUAGCCUUUCUCUCUUUCUGGUAAUUCUGUUUAAAAAUGAUAAUGGUGAAACACAUGGUCUGUCUUUGGAAAAUAGUGUUGUAAUUUAUCAACCAUUUUGGUAAUGGAAAAAAAAAAUUGUCAAUCUUUACAAAUUUUCAUUUCCGGUAUAAUACGUCUAGCCAUUUUUCAAUACGAUUUUCUCUAUCUUCGAUGUAGAACUGUGUAAAGUGAUAUUCAUAAAAGUUGUAGCUCCGUCUCUUAGCUUUCCAAUGGUACAAGAAUCGUAUCAUUUGGAGUUCUGUUGCUCAAGUUAUGGCUAAAAUAUUAAAAUAUAUACAAGCAGACUUUCGGAUCUUUCAACAUCUCAUUUUUCAAAAUUAAGCCCAAUUUUUUUAAUUCUUACAAAAUAUAAAACUAAUAAACAAUAGCCAAAUUAAAAAGAAUAACAUAAAAUUAAAAUAACUCACUUACAAAUAAACUAAUUAUAAAAAUAACUAAAAAUAAAUAAAUUAUAAUUAAAAAUUGAAGACUUCGCUAAUAUUUAAUAACAAAAUUAGAAUAAAAUAACUCUAUAAAAUAGAAUUAUCACACCUCCAAAUUUAAGAUUUUGCUAGUUCUCGAGCAAAAGAAAAUCACAAAAAGAAAACUGAACAUAAACAAUUCUUGAACAAGAGAUAGAAGUAUCAAAUCAUGAUUUCCCAAAAUUUCUUCAAAAAUUAACUCAAAUUCCAACUUAAAGUAAACAUACAGUUAAUCCUUAAAUUUGUGCAUCAAUUCAAGUGAAAAUUUACUUUUCGAAUGGACUUCCGUGUGUGUGUGAAUGUUCUCUUACAAAGAAUAUCAUACAAUUCGGAUUAGUUUAUGCCAAAUCUAAGCAUAGAUUAGUAUUAGGAUCCUAUAAGUUUGCUUUUCAUCUCUUUCUCCAUUAAUGUAGAUUAACACUUAUUUAAGGAUCAAUAGGUUUUUAUCAAGCUUGUAAUGUAAGGCUAGGGUCAAGGUAUGAUAAAAGAUAUAUUUAGGCUCAAAUUCACCCUAAGCACUUAAUCAAUUUAGGACAUAUAAAGAGCUCGAUUUUUUUUUAUAGCACCCCCAAACUUGAAGUAAACUUUCCUUUGUACAACACACUUUAUUUCUUUUCUUUUUUUUUUUUUAAACCCCCAAACUUAUUUUUGACAAUUAUAAACUAAGGGUCAUUUUCCUAACAACCAUCACUUUUUUUUUUCACCUUUCUCCCUCAAUUUAUUCUUAAACUCAAAUCAUUCUUUAGAAAGAUUAAAAUACUUAGAAGGUGAAAGGUUCAAAUUGAUGAAUUUAAAUCGACAAACCAAGGCUAACAUAAUUGUUUAAUUAGAAAGAAAAGGUAAAUUAGGCUCAAAAAGGGUGACUAAGGAUAAAUAUAACAAGGUAGGCUCAAAAAGGCUCAAACGGUCUAAAGAUGGCUUAAAUCACUUCCUAUCCUAAGUGUUAUAUAAGAUUUUGCCUCGAGAGAGAAUCAAACAAAUUCUAAAAUUCUUGACUUCACUAUACUUUUUCAUCAAUAUAAAAUCUCUCUAAAUCACACAAAAAUUCUAAGUUAAAGAGUAUAGUGCUCAAAUUAUUGGAAGUUACAUUCUAAAAUAAAGCUAAUACAAGAAUAUCAUAUAAAAUUAAAUCAUAACUAUAUGUCUCCCAAAAGCUAAGAAUCAAAAGAUAAUUAAAAUAUCAUCCUAGGAUUGGGACAAUCAUGAAUGAGGUGCAACUAUCUCAACUUUUUUUUUGAAACACAAUAAAACAUGCAACACAUAAAUAAAUAUGCAAGACAUAUCUUAAAAUAAAGCUAACUAAAAAAAUUAACUAACAAAAUUCUAAACCACUCCCCCAAACUUGGAAUAAACAUUGUCCUCAGUAUGAUAAAAGAAAAUAAAAGAAAAAGGACAAGAAUACUCCCCUAACUCUGAAGCUGUAGUCUACAUGUCCUCCGCAUCGUCACCACCCAUUAUCUACUCUUAGCAACAAAGCAUUCAUCAAUUAUAUAUGCAGCAAACAACAAGUCCAUGAAUCCAUUAUAUGGGUAACAAGAAAUUGGCACUAUUAUUCAAAAUUUUCGGCACUCUAAGCAUUAAUCAUGAGGAAGUAUAAAAAACCCAUUAACAAACAUGCACAAUGGAAUCAUUCAAGUAGCAAAGAUUAUAGAAUUUACUAUGAACACCAACCUCAUCCUCUCUCUAUACAAAACAAUUGACAACCCAAUGUUUGGAGGAGUACUUACCUUAAGAGUGCAGGAUUUCAAAGGGAAAAUAAAAAAAAUCCAAGUAGAAAGAACAUGCAAAAAGUUUGGAGUGAAAAAGAGAAAACAGAGGAAGGCAAGAGAUUGGUAGGAGGAGGAAGAAUGGGAGUAGGUAUGGCGGCCAAAGAAGAAGAAGAAUGAAAGAAGAAGAAAAAAAAAUAAAAUGGUUUUCAAAAGGUUAAGGUUAGAGUGGCAAGUGAAGGUCGCGGCGCACAAAAUUUUUUUUCACCCCAAGCGUUACGCUUUGGGUUUGAGUGCCACGACUCUCCCUUUGAGGGCCGCUGCGCUAAAACAUUCUGUUUCAGGUUAUUUUUUUAACCUCAUCCAAGGUUGCGGCUCUCAAUUUGAGAGCCGCAACUUUGACUUUUUUUAUUUUUUUUAUUUUGAUUUUUUUGAAUUUUUUUUAAACCAAUUACUUGCAAAAGGAAACAUAAAAAAAAAAAGAAUUAGAUCACAAGAAAUAAAUUGAUACUAACAAAACUUAAAUAAAAGACGAAAAUUAGUAAGGUUAAGGAGCUUGGGCUGCUUUCCAAGAAGCACUCGUUUAUAGUCAGUAGCUUGACUAUAGCACCCUUUUUUUCAGUUCUUCAUCCUCGAAAUAUGGUCUAAGGCUCAUCUCAUUAACCAUGAUUGUUCCUGUAUCUUACUAUAAAUCUCAAUUAUUCCACAAGGAUAAGCCUUUACUACUUUGAAAGGACCCUACCAUCUUUCUUUGUGUUUCCAUGGAAAAAGCUUAAAGUAUGAUCGAGAAAGCAUCAUUACUUAUUGUCCAAUCUCGAAAGGACAAUUAGAUGGUGGUGAAGGAUGCUCCGUUGGUGACUGCUUAGGUCUCAUAGGUAGAGGUGGUAGCUUACUCUCAAAGAUUAAUGCUUGCUCACUUGUAGGUGGAGAAAUAAGUUCACCUUUGCCUUCAUCAAUUAACUCUACUUUAUAGCAACAAUAUGUAGAGCUAGGAUGUUUAUUUGCAUUGAAAAUAUUAAACUCAACUACCUCUACUCCAACUUUAAAAGUUAUAUUGCCUUCCCUCACACCAAUGAUUGCGCCUGUAAUAGCUAAGAAUGGUCGUCCCAAGAUUAAAGGAAUUUCUAGAUCUUCUUACAUCUCAAGCACAAUGAAGUCCAUCGGAAUGUAAAGAUCCCCAACUUUAACCAAUACAUCCUUAAUAAUCUCAACAGGGUACUUGAUUGUUCUAUUUGCUAAUUAUAAAGAAACUGUGGUAGGUUGUAUCUCGUUAAGUCCAAGUUUCUCAACAAUUGAGAAAUGCAUGAUUGAAACACCUGCACCCAAAUCACAUAAAGCUUUGGUAAAUUUAAAUCUAGCAAUAGUACAAGGGAUCAAAAAACUCCCUGGAUCCUUAAGUUUUGGUAGAAGCUUGUUUUGAAUUAGUGUGCUACAUUCCUCAAUAAGUGCCACUGUUUCAAAGUCUUCCAGUUUCCUCUUCUUGGUUAAGAUGUCUUUCAAGAAUUUAAUAUAACUCGGCAUAUUUUCCAAAGCUUUAGCAAAAGGGAUGUUUAUGUGGAGCUUCUUAAAGACAUUGAGAAAUUUCUCAAACUGUUUAUCAAGCUUUUUCUUUUUCAACCUUUGUGGGAAUGGUGGUGGAGGAUAAUUUGCUUCAAAAUUCCCUUGAUUUUUAGCUUGCCCGUUAUCUGUCUUUUCCACUUCAACUUUUUUCUCAACAAUUACCUUGUCAUCAUUUUCGUACUCCUUUGAAGAUUCAAUUGAUUUUUCACUCACCCCUUCAAUUUCUUUGCCACUCCUAAGGGUAAUUGCAUUACAAUGUUCCUUACUUUUGGGAUUGACUUAUGUAUCACUUGGUAAGGCACCUUGGGGUCUACUGUUGAUGGAGUUUGCAAGUUAUCCCACUUAGGUCUCAAGAUUUCUCAAGGAGGCUCCAUAGCUCUGAAUUAUGGCAUCAAUCUUGGACAUAUAUUGCAAGAUAAGUUCUUCCACUUGGGACUUUUUUUUAAGAAUUGAUGGUCUAGAUUGUUGUUGAAAACUAGGAGGCACGUUGGGGUUUGGAUUGGAAGGCCCUGCAUUAUUGUUCCAUGAAAAGUUAGGGUAGUUUCUCCAACUAGGAUUGUAUGAAUUAGAAUAAGGGUUAUUUUGCUGCCUAUUGAAGUUCCCCACAAAUUAGACUAAUGCAGAAUUGUAUGAACAUGGAUCACUUGAAUGACUAUCUCCACACAUCUCACAGACUACAAAUGAAUUUUUAACGGCAUGAACUCCCAGUGUGUCAAACUUUUUAGAUAGUGCAGCCACUUCUGCAACUACUUUAGCAGUUAAAGUGCCAAGUGCAUCAAUUUUCUAAACUUCAAUAGCUUUUCUUGGACUCGACCUUUCUGAAGGCCAUUGAUAAUUAUUUGAAGCCAUCUCUUCCAACAAAUUAUAAGCAUAUGCAGUAUUCUUACUCAUUAAUGCCCCACCAACAGUAGCUUCAAUUGUGGUUUUUAUUGACCCAACCAACCUAUUGUAAAAUGUCUGAACUUGUAACCAAUUAGGAAUCCCAUGAUGUGGACAUCUUCUCAAUAGUUCUUUAAACCUCUCCCAAGCUUCAUACAAGGAUUCACCAUCAAAUUGUGUGAAUGAGGUGAUAUCGUUCUUCAUCUUUGUCGUCUUGGCAGGCAGAAAAAAUUUUGCUAGAAAAUUUUGUGCCAAGUCUUCCCAUUUAGUGAUAAACCCAUUGGGCAGUGAAUUAAGCAAGCUCUUUGCUUUAUCCCUAAGAGAAAACGGAAACAGUCUUAAUCUAAUAGCAUCAUCAAUUUAAAGGUAUCUCAAAUCUCCAAGAAAUUUACUAAAUGAGAAUUAGGAUCAUCACUGGGUAACCCACCAAACUAGACUGAAGACUAAAUCAUUUGAAUGUAAGCUGGUUUAAUUUCGAAAUUAUUUGCAUUGAUGGAUGGUCUCCUAAUGCUUUGGUGCAAACCUUGCAACAGAGGAACAACAUAAUCUUGCAGUGCUCUAUUUGCUUCGGGAAUUAAAUUAAUGGCAUUAUUGCCAUUGUUAUUAUUAUCCUCAGCCAUUGUCUGACUUAAAGUUGCAACUUGUAAAUUCUCCCUUCGACAUCUACUAAAAGUUCUUUCUAUCUCAAGAUCAAAAGGAACAUGAUUCAAGUUGUUUCUUCUUUGCAUACAAUGACCAAAGAUAUCUGCAAACAAACAAAAUCUAAUGUUAAAACAAAAAAAAAAAGAAAAUUUGAAGUAAGACUAAAUUGCUUGGUAUUAGUAUUAAUAAAAAUUCUAGAAACAAUUCCCCAACAAUGGCGUUAAAAACUUGUCAGUUAAAAUUCUACUACGCAAGUAUACGUAUUGAAUAGGUAGUAUAUAAGCAAGCAGAGUAUCGAUCUCACAGAGAAUUAAUCUAAAAUUUUACUAAGUACUAAAAUUAGAAUAAUUUAAUCUUAUCCAAACACUCAAAAUUAAUUGAUUAACUAACUAAUUAACUAAAAUUUAAACCAAUAGGAAAAAUCAAAAUAAUAAUAACUUAUCAAUUCAAACAAGCCUAGGAUUACAAUAUCCUUCACACUUCAUCUAAGUCUUACCUCUCUUCCUUAACUUAUUUCAAUGGGUUGAAUUGCUAACCUAGAGUCCUAAAUUAUUUAUAAGGGUUUCCCGACUCAUCUUAUAAAAAUAUCUAUUUUAAUCAAAUCACUAUAUCCCUAUGUGAAUUGAAAUUAAAACAGACUUAUUAAGUUCAGACUCUAAUCUAGCUACAUAUGGCCUAUAGGUAUAUCCUUGUCCUAUACGCAAAUCAAUUAAUAUGAUCAUAUGCUAUCCCAAUUUUAGUCUACACUAAACUCCCUUUCCCAAGUUUGUUUAGGUUCCUAAAUCAAUUUAAUUGAUGGCCAAGCAAUUAAAAGCAUUAAAAACAAAUUGAAAUAAACAAUUCAAUUCCCAUUGAAGAUAAGUAAGAAAGAGAUUAAAAAUCUAGAUUACAUGUAAGUUCAAUUGCAAUCCUAAAAAAGAAAAUUAGCUACUCAUGAUUGCAAAAACAAAUAACAUCAUAAUAAAUUCAACUAUUGAGAGCAACAAAAAAAAUAAAAGCCAAGGAAGACAAAACAUUAUUUGCCGCUUGAUCUCCAAGUUUCAGCCUCAACUCCUAGCUUCUUGAAUCUCCCAAAUGUUUUUUUCUAAUAUUUGUAAACAUAUCCUAUUUAUACUAAUAAACUUAACCUAAAGUUCCUUAAGUUGACCUAGGGUUUAAUUGGGCUUAAAAGUGCAAUCAGAGGCCCAAAAAUCAAUUAUCAAUCUUUACAAAUUUCCAUUCCUAGCACAAUACGUCUAGCAAAUUUACAACAUGAUUUUUCUAUCUUCAAAGCAGAACUAAGUAAAGUAAUCUUCCUGAAAUUUGUAGCUCUAUCUCUUAGCUUUUCAAUGGUCUAAGAAUCGCAUCAUUUGGAGCUAUGUAGCUCAAGUUAUGGCCAAAAUGCUAAAGCAUAUGCAAAUAGACUUUUGGGUCUUUCAACAUCUCACUUUCUAAUAUUAAGCACAAUUUCUUUUAGUUCCUACAAAAUAUAAAAA
rnacentral:lncRNA from 1 species